GACGAACGCUGGCGGCGUGCCUAAUACAUGCAAGUCGAACGCAUUUUCUUUCACCGUAGCUUGCUACACCGAAAGAAAAUGAGUGGCGAACGGGUGAGUAACACGUGGGUAACCUGCCCAUCAGCGGGGGAUAACACUUGGAAACAGGUGCUAAUACCGCAUAAUUCCAUUUACUGCAUGGUAGAUGGAUGAAAGGCGCUUUUGCGUCACUGAUGGAUGGACCCGCGGUGCAUUAGCUAGUUGGUGGGGUAACGGCCUACCAAGGCUGCGAUGCAUAGCCGACCUGAGAGGGUGAUCGGCCAAACUGGGACUGAGACACGGCCCAGACUCCUACGGGAGGCAGCAGUAGGGAAUCUUCGGCAAUGGACGCAAGUCUGACCGAGCAACGCCGCGUGAGUGAAGAAGGUUGUCGGAUCGUAAAACUCUGUUGUUAGAAAAGAACAAGGAUGAGAGUGGAAAGUUCAUCCCUUGACGGUAGCUAACCAGAAAGCCACGGCUAACUACGUG
rnacentral:rRNA from 1 species